AUUGAUCGCUAGCGGGAUGCUUUACACAUGCAAGUCGAACGGCAGCGCGGACUUCGGUCUGGCGGCGAGUGGCGAACGGGUGAGUAAUGUAUCGGAACGUGCCCAGUCGCGGGGGAUAACUACGCGAAAGCGUAGCUAAUACCGCAUACGCCCUACGGGGGAAAGCAGGGGAUCGUAAGACCUUGCACUCUUGGAGCGGCCGAUAUCGGAUUAGCUAGUUGGUGAGGUAACGGCUCACCAAGGCGACGAUCCGUAGCUGGUUUGAGAGGACGACCAGCCACCCUGGGACUGAGACACGGCCCAGCCUCCUGCGGGUGGCAGCAGUGGGGAAUUUUGGACAAGGGGGGCAACCCUGACACAGCCAGCCCGCGUGUGCGAUGAAGGCCUUCGGGUUGUAAAGAACUUUUGGCAGGAAAGAAACGUCGCGGGCUAAUACCCCGUGGAACUGACGGUACCUGCAGAAUAAGCACCGGCUAACUACGUG
rnacentral:rRNA from 1 species